rnacentral:rRNA from 1 species
AGAACGAACGCUGGCGGCGUGGAUAAGACAUGCAAGUCGAACGGGGCAAUCUGGUAGCAAUAUCAGGCUGCCUAGUGGCAAACGGGUGCGUAACACGUGGAUGACAUUCCGGGAAGCGAGGGAUAGCCCAGGGAAACUUGGAUUAAUACCUCAUGUGGUCGCAAGACUAAAGGCGCAAGCCGCUUCCUGAUUGGUCCGCGGCCUAUCAGCUAGUUGGUGAGGUAAAAGCUCACCAAGGCAACGACGGGUAGCUGGUCUGAGAGGACGACCAGCCACACUGGAACUGAGACACGGUCCAGACACCUACGGGUGGCAGCAGUCGAGAAUCUUUCACAAUGGGGGCAACCCUGAUGGAGCGACGCCGGCGUGGAGGAUAAGGUCUUCGGAUUGUAAACUCCUGUCAUGCGAGAGCAAGGCAUGGCAACAUGCUUGAUAGUAUCGCAAGAGGAAGAGACGGCUAACUCUGUG